GUUUUUCAAUUUGACUUACAAUAUUAAAUUUUACAUUUCGUAUUGUUUUUUUCCUUUUUUUUGAAUUCUGGUUGAAAGAGCCAAUGCGAUGUUGGGAACGUGGCUAAAUUAGGAUCUCGCAACGCAGCGCUAGAACAUAUAUUGGGAAUUUUUGAAGGAUAUAUAUUUCUAAUUAAUAAUAUAUUUCUAAAAAUGACGGUUAUAUCGAAAAUUCCAAACAAUGAGAACUGCAUUGGGCCUGAAAUUAGUAAAAUCCUGAAUAUACCAUAUGGUGGACAUUAUCGAAAAUGAAGUGACAAAGGGAAUUAUAUGAUCGAAAAAUUAUCGCAAAGCCCUAUAGAGAACCAGAGCAAAACGAUUUUCUAUGGAAAGCAUUAAAUACCUUAUUGGUGAUCAUUGGAUUGGCGGAAGUUUCGAGAUGCACUUAUAUGGAGUUAUACCUAAAGAAGGAUCGAUAUAGACCAUUUUAAAUAAUUCGCCCACAAUAUUUAAUCGCCUCAAAAAUCCCAAUAACAGCCGAUUUGAUUGGAAAAUUUUUCCGAGCCCUUUACUAUACUAGUUUUUAAGCUGAGAUGUUAAUGUUUUGAACUGUGAAAUGAAAGUCAUGCGGUUGGAUAAAGUUUUUAGGACCUUUAAAACAGAGCGGUAAGUGAAUCUCCUUUUCUAUUUAAAUUCAGUGGAAGAAUCUUUUGAAAAUA